GACGAACGUUGGCGGCGUGCUUAAUACAUGCAAGUCAACUGAAGCAGUGGUAGCAAUAUCGCUGUGGAGGUGGCGCACGGGUGAGUAACAUGUAGGUAAUCUGCCUUCAGGUCUGGCAUAACUCCGGGAAACCGGGGCUAAUAGCAGAUGAUGCAGCGGCUCGACAUCGAGACAGUUGUUAAAGCUAUGGCGCCUGAAGAUGAGCCUGCGUCUGAUUAGCUAGUUGGCGGGGUAACGGCCCACCAAGGCAACGAUCAGUAGCUGGUCUGAGAGGAUGAUCAGCCACACUGGAACUGAGACACGGUCCAGACUCCUACGGGAGGCAGCAGUAAGGAAUAUUGCUCAAUGGGAGAAAUCCUGAAGCAGCAACGCCGCGUGAGGGACGAAGGGCUUUUGCUUGUAAACUUCUGUAGUGAGAGAAAAAAAUCCCAAUCUUUGGGACAUGAUGGUAUCUCAAAAGUAAGCCCCGGCUAACUACGUG
rnacentral:rRNA from 1 species